CCUACGGGUGGCAGCAGUGGGGAAUAUUGCACAAUGGGGGAAACCCUGAUGCAGCGACGCCGCGUGAGCGAAGAAGGAUCUCGGUAUGUAAAGCUCUAUCAGCAGGGAAGAAAAUGAGGGUACCUGACUAGGAAGCCCCGGCUAAAUACGUGCCAGCAGCCGCGGUGAUACGUAGGGGGCAAGCGUUAUCCGGAUUUACUGGGUGUAAAGGGAGCGCAGGCGGCGCGGUAAGUAUGCUGUGAAAGCCCGGGGGCCAACCCCGAGACUGCAUUGGAAACUGUCUUGCUGGAGUGUCGGAGGGGCGAGUGGAAUUCCUAGUGUAGCGGUGAAAUGCGUAGAUAUUAGGAGGAACACCAGUGGCGAAGGCGGCUCGCUGGCCGACAACUGACGCUGAGGCUCGAAAGCGUGGGGAGCAAACAGGAUUAGAUACCCCAGUAGUC
rnacentral:rRNA from 1 species